UACGAAGGGUGCAAGCGUUACUCGGAAUUACUGGGCGUAAAGCGUGCGUAGGUGGUUUGUUAAGUCUGUUGUGAAAGCCCCGGGCUCAACCUGGGAAUGGCAAUGGAUACUGGCAAGCUAGAGUGCGGUAGAGGGUAGUGGAAUUCCCGGUGUAGCGGUGAAAUGCGUAGAGAUCGGGAGGAACACCAGUGGCGAAGGCGGGCUACC
rnacentral:rRNA from 1 species